GACGAACGCUGGCGGCGUGCUUAACACAUGCAAGUCGAGCGGAAAGGCCCUUCGGGGUACUCGAGCGGCGAACGGGUGAGUAACACGUGAGUAAUCUGCCCUUGGCUUUGGGAUAACUACCGGAAACGGUGGCUAAUACCGGAUACGACGCACUCAGGCAUCUGAUGUGUGUGGAAAGUUUUUUCGGCCAGGGAUGUGCUCGCGGCCUAUCAGCUUGUUGGUGGGGUAAUGGCCUACCAAGGCUUCGACGGGUAGCCGGCCUGAGAGGGUGACCGGCCACACUGGGACUGAGACACGGCCCAGACUCCUACGGGAGGCAGCAGUGGGGAAUAUUGGACAAUGGGCGGAAGCCUGAUCCAGCAACGCCGCGUGAGGGAUGACGGCCUUCGGUUGUAACCGUACUUCUAGUACCGACGGACGACGCCGACUGAUAGGUGGUGACGGUAGGUAC
rnacentral:rRNA from 1 species